rnacentral:rRNA from 1 species
UACGAAGGGGGCUAGCGUUGCUCGGAAUCACUGGGCGUAAAGGGUGCGUAGGCGGGUCUUUAAGUCCGGGGUGAAAUCCUGGAGCUCAACUCCAGAACUGCCUUUGAUACUGAGGAUCUUGAGUUCGGGAGAGGUGAGUGGAACUGCGAGUGUAGAGGUGAAAUUCGUAGAUAUUCGCAAGAACACCAGUGGCGAAGGCGGCUCACUGGCCCGGAACUGACGCUGAGGUGCGAAAGCGUGGGGAGCAAACAGG